UCGUUGAGUGCUGUUUUUUUGUGUCUGUGUGCAUGUUUGAGCACAACAGACGCUGGACUCGCAGCAAAGCCAGGAGAGUGCCCAAGUGAAAAAUCUGGAGCAGGUAAGUGUGCCGAUCUGUGUGCCUAUGACAGUGACUGUCCGAACAAUGAGAAAUGCUGCAGCAAUGGAUGUGGACGUCAGUGUAUGGCUCCAUAUACAGUUAAGCCUGCGCCCAAGCCUCCAGUGAAGCUUGCCGCCAAACUGGUUGAGACUCCAGUGAAG